AACGAACGUUGGCGGCGUGGAUUAGGCAUGCAAGUCGAACGCGAAUACCUGGGCCACUGGGGAGGAGAGUGGCGAAAGGGGCAGUAAGGCGUGGGUAAGCUACCCUCCGGGCCGGGAUAGCUUCGGGAAACUGAAGGGAAUACCGGGCGACGCAGCGAGAUCGCAUGGUCUUGCUGCCAAAGGUCCGCCGCCGGGGGAGGGGCUCACGUGGUAUUAGCUAGACGGCGGGGUAACGGCCCACCGUGGCAAAGAUGCCUAGCAGGUGUGAGAGCACGACCGGCGCCACUGGCACUGAGACACUGGCCAGACACCUACGGGUGGCUGCAGUCGAGGAACUUCGGCAAUGCGCGCAAGCCUGACCGAGCGACGCCGCGGGUGCGAUGAAGGCCUUCGUGUUGUAAAGCACGGUCGAGGGGGAGGAAGACGCAAGGUUGACCUAUCCCUGGAGGAAGCACGGGCUAAGUUCGUG
rnacentral:rRNA from 1 species